GAUGAACGCUGGCGGCGUGCCUAAUACAUGCAAGUCGAGCGAAUGGAUUAAGAGCUUGCUCUUAUGAAGUUAGCGGCGGACGGGUGAGUAACACGUGGGUAACCUGCCCAUAAGACUGGGAUAACUCCGGGAAACCGGGGCUAAUACCGGAUAAUAUUUUGAACUGCAUGGUUCAAAAUUGAAAGGCGGCUUCGGCUGUCACUUAUGGAUGGACCCGCGUCGCAUUAGCUAGUUGGUGAGGUAACGGCUCACCAAGGCAACGAUGCGUAGCCGACCUGAGAGGGUGAUCGGCCACACGGGGACUGAAACACGGCCCAGACUCCUACGGGAGGCAGCAGUAGGUAAUCUUCCGGAAUGGACGAAAGUCUGACGGAGCAACGCAGCGUGAGAGAUGAAGGCUUUCGGGUCGUAAAACUCUGUUGUUAGGGAAGAACGAGUGCUAGUUGAAUAAGCUGGCACCUUGACGGUACCUAACCAGAAAGCCACGGCUAACUACGUGCCAGCAGCCGCCGUAA
rnacentral:rRNA from 1 species